UGGGAAUUUGGACAAUGGGCGAAAGCCUGAUCCAGCAAUGCCGCGUGUGUGAAGAGGGCCUUCGGGUUGUAAAGCACUUUUGUCCGGAAAGAAAUCCUUGGCUCUAAUACAGUCGGGGGAUGACGGUACCGGAAGAAUAAGCACCGGCUAACUACGUGCCAGCAGCCGCGGUAAUACGUAGGGUGCAAGCGUUAAUCGGAAUUACUGGGCGUAAAGCGUGCGCAGGCGGUUUGCUAAGACCGAUGUGAAAUCCCCGGGCUCAACCUGGGAACUGCAUUGGUGACUGGCAGGCUAGAGUAUGGCAGAGGGGGGUAGAAUUCCACGUGUAGCAGUGAAAUGCGUAGAGAUGUGGAGGAAUACCGAUGGCGAAGGCAGCCCCCUGGGCCAAUACUGACGCUCACGCACGAAAGCGUGGGGGCAAACAGGAUUAGAUACCCUGGUAGUCCACGCCCUAAACGAUGUCAACUAGUUGUUGGGGAUUCAUUUCCUUAGUAACGUAGCUAACGCGUGAAGUUGACCGCCUGGGGAGUACGGUCGCAAGAUUAAAACUCAAAUGAAUUGACGGGGUCAUAGCUGUUUCCU
rnacentral:rRNA from 1 species